UUUAAUCAGGACUUUAGUCCUGAAGAAAACUCCUUUUAAAUUAACAUAUGUAAAGUGAAAUAUGUUUGCUUAGACAUUUUUCACUUCAUCAAAGAUCCCUUAAGCUGGACUUUUUUUGGACCAAGUUGAGGUUAGCAUUUCCUUAAUCGAGAAAAUCAUUACGAAAAUAAUCAUCUUUAUCUGUCUUAAUCGAAAAAAUCAUACAAAAACAAAAAUAAAACAUAAGGCAAGCCCCCGGAACAUGGCCCAGACCUACUCCACUCUGAAAUUCUUACAGACACCUACUCGGGGGGUAAGUAUUGCAAAUUGUAUCCCAAACUCAAGUCCCAUGUAUCCCCAUUAACCGAUUCACAUGGCAAUUAGUCCAUAUUGUUUGUGCAUCGAGUAGUAUAGCUGGCUGGUGGGUUCUCUUUCACCCGGAACGUGCAACAAGUGCCGCAGCAGGCAGCAGUCAGCAGGUGCUACCAACUAUAGGAGAUCACGCCUUCUUUCGGUGUGUGUGACCAAAAAUAUGGAUCAUGCUUCUUGUUGGAUCACUUAGGUUAAUGAGUAUCUCGUCUAGCCAUGCAAAUUGUGAACCGAAUUGAAAAUCAAAGCCUGAACUUGAGGCACAGCCCACUCGGAACCACAACAGCCCCUUUGGGGCUCCUUAAUCUCCAUAUCGCGAGUCUCUCGAGUAUUCUUUUUAAAGAAAGACCGAAAAAAAAUACAACAAAAAUUAUCCACACUUUGCACCCUUUUGACAGAAAGUGAAGCCUCGAUUCAUGGCUAAUUUAGGUGGGUCUGUGGAGCGAAAGAAGGGUGUCGGCCGAGGACCCUGAGUUGGGUGAUAUGGGCGAAGUCUAAAUGCAGCACAUGAUGUUAGUUGUUGUUGCUGUUGCAGGCAGUCAGGUAGUGUUGCUACAUAUUAAAUGCACUGCAGCUGCAAACACUUUCACUUUUUUCUAUGCUAAUUUUCCCUGCAGAAAGCGAGCCAUACCAUACAUAAAAAAUUGAAGGAAAACUAAAAUGUUGGGUAUAAGUCGAGUUUCAAUUUUUAUGAAUUUCCAAAAAUUAUUCCUAAGCGGAUGAUAUGUUGAUGUUUCGCCAAACUAAAGUACUGACAGCAUUGUCGCAUCAGAAUUACUGCAAUUAAAGGUAAAGAGAAG
rnacentral:lncRNA from 1 species